AUUGAACGCUGGCGGCAGGCUUAACACAUGCAAGUCGAGCGGGGAAGGGUAGCUUGCUACCUGACCUAGCGGCGGACGGGUGAGUAAUGCUUAGGAAUCUGCCUAUUAGUGGGGGACAACAUUCCGAAAGGAAUGCUAAUACCGCAUACGCCCUACGGGGGAAAGCAGGGGAUCUUCGGACCUUGCGCUAAUAGAUGAGCCUAAGUAAAAUUCGCUAGUUGGUGGGGUAAAGGCCUACCACGGCGACGAUCUGUAGCGGGUCUGAGAGGAUGAUCCGCCACACUGGGAAUGGGACACGGACCAGACUCCGACGGGAGGCAGCAGUGGGGAAUAUUGGACAAUGGGCGAAAGCCUGAUCCAGCCAUGCCGCGUGUGUGAAGAAGGCCUUUUGGUUGUAAAGCACUUUAAGCGAGGAGGAGGCUACCGGGAUUAAUACUCUUGGAUAGUGGACGUUACUCGCAGAAUAAGCACCGGCUAACUCUGUGCCAGCCGCCGCCGUAACAC
rnacentral:rRNA from 1 species